CGAUAGCGUAUAUUAAAGUUGUUGCAGUUAAAAAGCUCGUAGUUGGAUUUCUGGUGGGAGCGAUCGGUCUGGCGCUUAGCGCGAGUACUUGCAUCGUCUCCGGCCAUCCUUGGGGAGAGUCUGUCUGGCAUUAAGUUGUCGGGCAGAGGAUCCUCAUCGUUUACUGUGAAAAAUUAGAGUGUUCAAAGCAGGCUUAUGCCGUUGAAUAUAUUAGCAUGGAAUAAUAAGAUAGGACUUUGGUACUAUUUUGUUGGUUUGCGCACCAAAGUAAUGAUUAAUAGGGACAGUUGGGGGUAUUCGUAUUCCGUUGUCAGAGGUGAAAUUCUUGGAUUUACGGAAGACGAACUACUGCGAAAGCAUUUACCAAGGAUGUUUUCAUUA
rnacentral:rRNA from 1 species